AGCCAUUGCAUUUGUCUGCCUU
rnacentral:miRNA from 1 species